AGUUGCGGCUCCCGGACCGUAGAGCGCAGGCUCAGCAGUUGUGGCGCACCGGCUUGGUUGGCCCACAGCGUGUGGGGUCUUAGUUCCCUGACCAGGGAUCAAACCCGUGUCCCCUGCAUUGGCCCUGCCACCGAGCCACCAGGGAAGCCCCCUGUUUUCUUUAUCCUCCCUCUUUCCUUCAUUCUCUUUCUCUCUCUCUUCCCUACUUUCCUCCAGAUGAGUACNNNNNNNNNNNNNNNNNNNNNNNNNNNNGUGGACGUGACCCAGCCGUUCACCUGCAUGGACCUGUGAGCAACAGCCAGCCCAUGGAGUCUUCCAGCCCCUGGCCACAGGGCCGAGUUCAGGGCUGCAUACAGUCAGAGUCAGCCCUGAGACUUAUUAGAACCACAGGGAAAGAGAUCUGGCCUUCCGCAGGGGUUGCUGAGCUCUGACUGCACAUAAACCUGAAGGGCAGUGGCCCCCUGGGGGCAGAGCUGCCUGAAACACCCCCCAUCACCCCUCCCGGAAGACAGAACCAGCAGAUGGAGACCAGCCUUGCGCUGACCACACAUGAGCCCCUGGAUCUAGCCGUGCCUGAAGUUACAGCCAUGCCUGGACUUCUCAGUUUGGUCAGCCCAGCAUCUCCCACUUCCCUUUUUUUUUUUUAAAGCCAGUAAGUGUUGAGUUUUCUGUCUCAGAAAAUCAGUCUAGAUGUGGCUUCUGCACACGUGGGCCCUCCAGGCUUACACGAUUCUGAGGCCUCCUUUCCACAACAAUCCCGGUGCUGUGUGAGGGAACUGAUCCUUCCGCCCAUCUCUCGUAUCAGAGCAGGCCAGGAGGACCGCUUCCACAGAGGAAACAGGCUGCUGCUGGAACGUCCUGUGGCCUGGCACACAGAGUCCUUUGUGAGGCCCCGGACGGUAUCUGGGUCCGCCCUGCGGCCUGUUGUGCCCACACAGGUCAGUCUGCGUGCAUUCUUCGGUUGCAGGUGGAUUCUUUACUGCUGAACCGGGCUAGGAUAGUGACCUCAUUUCACCAACAAGGGACCCGGCAGCCAAAGAAGCUCACUGACCAGGACAAGGCUCUGUCUUGGGGCCUAGCUGGCUUGGGACUCAAGGCAUUUGAGUUUAAUUCCAGUGACCUUUCACCGUGUCCCUGCAGCCCUUUGUGAAGACCCAUUCAAGAAAGCGGGACAAGGACAGAGGUGGAUUGGUGGACCAUGUGACAUGCUCGGGGACUCAUGUGCCAGUGGUCUCUGAGCAUCUUUGAGUUCUUUUAAGGAGAAAAAGUCUGGCUUAGACUUUGUGAGUCAGACAACAGCCUGGGUUGGAAUCCCAGUGCUGCCACACACUGACCUGGACACACUGUUGCGUAUCUCUGAGCCCCUGUGUUUCCAUCUGUAAAGCUGGCCUGAUGUCUGCCCAGCAGGAUUGUUGUCAGGGUCAAAUUGGCACCAAGUAGGUGUGUUUUCUUCAAGAGGCGGCUUUGCUGAUUGUUAUCACACCUGUGCUGUCUGUGUGUGUCUUUUUUCCAGUCACGUAUUGAUACUCAUUGGUGUCCAUGAAUUAGUGUUCCCAUGUGUAUCAGUCAGGUUUUGCUGAGUAACAAAAACCACAGAACUACAGUGACUUGCUUGACAGCCAGUGUUUAUUUUCACACCCGUGGGUCUGUGGGUCGGUUGUGAUUUGGCUGAUCUAGGUUGGGCUUGGCUAGCUCGGGCUGGACUUCAGAUUGGGUUCCCUGCAGGAUCAAGACUGAAAGGCAGCAGUUGAAAGAGACUAGUGACACCACCUCGCCUCGUGGCACAGCACAGAGGGCAAGGGAUAGACUUGGGAGCAUUGUCGCUUCCAUCCGAAUUCUGUUGUAAAUGAAUCAUCAGUGGGCCAGUCUAGAAUCCAGUGAGAAAGAACGAAAAGAACCACCAACCGCCACGGUGGGAAGGACUGCAGAGUCACAUGCUGGAGGGCAGGGAUGUAUAAUUGAAAUUCAGAUUGAGAGUGAAGAAUGGGAGAAAUGAUCCAGCCUAGACAUUGCCUUAAUUGUUUGCUUGAAUGGAGCAAGGAAAGCAAAGGGAAGGUAAGAUGAGAGGUGGGCUGGGAGAGGCCAGUACAGGGUCUUGUUUUCCAUGUACAUAGAGCAUGUUAAGUUGUGGUCAGGAGGUGAAUGUUAUGGAAAGAUCAUGCUCUGUGAUUCUGGGGGGCAGUAUAUGUUUAUGCUAUGCCUGUACCUCACUGCCUUGAUUAUUCCCGCUUUGUAGUAGGUUUUAUUUAAUUCCUUAUUUUUGGCUGUGCUAGGUCUUUGUUGCUGCACAUGGACUUUUUCUAGUUUCAUAGCGGGGUCCACUCUCUGUUUUGGUGCUUGGGCUUCUCAUUGUGGUGGAUUCUCUUGUUGUAGAAUACAGACUCUUGUGAGCUCAGUAGUUGUGGCUCACGGGCUUAUUUGUCCUACAGCCUGUGGAAUCUUCCUGGACCAGGGAUCGAACUCAUGUACCCUGCAUUGGCAGGGGGAUUCUUAACCACUGGGCCACCAGGGAGGCCUGAAGGACACUUUGAAGUUGGGAAAUGUGAGUCCUCCAGAUGGUUUUGGCUCUCCUGAGUUCAUUGCUUUUCCAUAUCAAUUUUAGGAUAAGACUUGUCAAUUCCCNNNNNNNNNNNNGUAUGACUCAAAGUUCAGGAAGUCAAUCACCAUUGGCAUCUAAGGUUGAAAAAAAGUAGUUUGAUCAUUUAUCCAACAAAUAUUUAUUAAUACUGUGCUGGACACCACUGCGUGGUCUGGCGAUGCAACCAGAAAAUCCAAACAUUGUCUUUGUGUACUCACAUGACUUAUUAUCAGAGCAGAUGUUAAUCAGUUCUCAUGUGAAUAACAUAGAGUUAGAAACGGAGGUAAAUCCUGUGAUCGAAUCUAGAGGAGUAGGAAGAGUUUCCCUGAGGAAGUAAGAUUUUAAGAAGCACAGGCAUUAACUAGGCAGAGUCAGUGAGGAAGCCUUACAGGCAGAGGGAACAGCAGGCACAAAAGACCUGAGGUAGGAGGACUGUGGGAAGUUGCAGGGUUUGAAAGAAGGUUGGGUGGUUGCAGCAGUGAGCCAGCUGCCUGGGUGGACAAGGUGAGGUCAGGGAGG
rnacentral:lncRNA from 1 species